rnacentral:rRNA from 1 species
AGGAUUAACGCUGGCGGCGUGCCUAACACAUGCAAGUCGAACGAGGUAGCAAUACCUAGUGGCAGACGGGUGAGUAACGCGUGGUCAACCUACCGUUGAGUGGGGGAUAACUAGCCGAAAGGUUAGCUAAUACCGCAUACGAGUUUCGGGGGCAUCCCUGGAUCUUAAAAGGAGCAAUCCGCUCGAUGACGGGACCGCGUCCCAUUAGCUAGAUGGUGGGGUAACGGCCUACCAUGGCACCGAUGGGUAGCUGGUUUGAGAGAGCGACCAGCCACACUGGGACUGAGAAACGGCCCAGACUCCUACGGGAGGCAGCAGUGAGGAAUUUUCCGCAAUGGGCGAAAGCCUGACGGAGCGACGCCGCGUGUGGGAAGAAGGCCUCGGGUCGUAAACCACUGUCGAAGGGACGAUAAUGACGGUACCCUUGGAGGAAGCCCGGCUAACUACGUGCCAGCAGCCGC